GAUGAACGCUGGCGGCGUGCUUAACACAUGCAAGUCGAACGAAGCACUUAUCUUUGAUUCUUCGGAUGAAGAGGUUUGUGACUGAGUGGCGGACGGGUGAGUAACGCGUGGGUAACCUGCCUCAUACAGGGGGAUAACAGUUAGAAAUGACUGCUAAUACCGCAUAAGACCACGGAGCCGCAUGGCCCAGUGGGAAAAACUCCGGUGGUAUGAGAUGGACCCGCGUCUGAUUAGGUAGUUGGUGGGGUAACGGCCUACCAAGCCAACGAUCAGUAGCCGACCUGAGAGGGUGACCGGCCACAUUGGGACUGAGACACGGCCCAAACUCCUACGGGAGGCAGCAGUGGGGAAUAUUGCACAAUGGGGGAAACCCUGAUGCAGCGACGCCGCGUGAGCGAAGAAGUAUUUCGGUAUGUAAAGCUCUAUCAGCAGGGAAGAAAAUGACGGUACCUGACUAAGAAGCACCGGCUAAAUACGUG
rnacentral:rRNA from 1 species